rnacentral:tRNA from 1 species
CAGUGGAUAGUUUAUUUUUAAAAUAUUAAUUUUGGGUAUUAAUGAAGCAUGAAUUGUUCCGCUGA